CCUACUGGAGGCAGCAGUGAGGAAUAUUGGUCAAUGGCCGUAAGGCUGAACCAGCCAAGUCGCGUGAAGGAAGAAGGAUCAAUGGAUCGUAAACUUCUUUUAUAGGGGAAUAAAUGUCUCCACGUGUGGCUAUUUCCAUGUACCCUAUGAAUAAGCAUCGGCUAACUCCCGGCCAGCCGCCGCCGUAAUACGGAGGAUUCGGACGUUAUUCGGAUUUUGUUGGUUUAAAGGGUUCGUAGGUUGUUUUUUAAGUCAGCGGUGAAAGUUUGUGGCUCAACCAUAAGAUUGCCGUUGAAACUGGAAGACUUGAGUGUGUUUGAGGUAGGCGGAAUGCGUGGUGUAGCGGUGAAAUGCAUAGAUAUCACGCAGAACUCCGAUUGCGAAGGCAGCAUACUAAGCCAUAACUGACACUGAAGCACGAAAGCGUGGGGAUCAAACAGGAUUAGAUACCCCUGUAGUC
rnacentral:rRNA from 1 species